GGGCGCGUAGCUCAGCGGGAGAGCGCCGCGUUGACAUCGCGGAGGUCGCUGGUUCAAUCCCAGCCGCGCCCACCA
rnacentral:tRNA from 1 species